rnacentral:rRNA from 1 species
GCAAGUCGAACGAAGCAUUUAGCGGAACGAUUUCGGAUGGGAAGGUAAAAUGACUGAGUGGCGGACGGGUGAGUAACGCGUGGAUAACCUACCAUAUACAGGGGGACAACAGUUGGAAACGACUGCUAAUACCGCAUAAGCGCACAGUGCCGCAUGGCACGGUGUGAAAAACUCCGGUGGUAUAUGAUGGAUCCGCGUCUGAUUAGCUAGUUGGUGAGGUAACGGCCCACCAAGGCAACGAUCAGUAGCCGACCUGAGAGGGUGACCGGCCACAUUGGGACUGAGACACGGCCCAAACUCCUACGGGAGGCAGCAGUGGGGAAUAUUGCACAAUGGGCGAAAGCCUGAUGCCAGCGACGCCGCGUGAGCGAAGAAGUAUUUCGGUAUGUAAAGCUCUAUCAGCAGGGAAGAAAAUGACGGUACCUGACUAAGAAGCCCCGGCUAACUACGUGCCAGCAGCAGC